rnacentral:rRNA from 1 species
UGGGGAAUUUUGGACAAUGGGCGCAAGCCUGAUCCAGCAAUGCCGCGUGCAGGAUGAAGGCCUUCGGGUUGUAAACCGCUUUUGUCAGGGAAGAAACGGGUUUCUCUAAUACAGAGACUUAAUGACGGUACCUGAAGAAUAAGCACCGGCUAACUACGUGCCAGCAGCCGCGGUAAUACGUAGGGUGCGAGCGUUAAUCGGAAUUACUGGGCGUAAAGCGCGCGCAGGCGGUUAUAUAAGACAGAUGUGAAAUCCCCGGGCUCAACCUGGGAACUGCAUUUGUGACUGUAUAGCUAGAGUACGGCAGAGGGGGAUGGAAUUCCGCGUGUAGCAGUGAAAUGCGUAGAUAUGCGGAGGAACACCGAUGGCGAAGGCAAUCCCCUGGGCCUGUACUGACGCUCAUGCACGAAAGCGUGGGGAGCAAACA